CCUACGGGGGGCAGCAGUGGGGAAUAUUGGACAAUGGGCGAAAGCCUGAUCCAGCCAUGCCGCGUGUGUGAAGAAGGCCUUCGGGUUGUAAAGCACUUUCAGUGGGGAAGAAAGCCUUGGGGCUAAUACCCUCGAGGAAGGACAUCACCCACAGAAGAAGCACCGGCUAACUCCGUGCCAGAGCCGCGGUAAUACGGAGGGUGCGAGCGUUAAUCGGAAUUACUGGGCGUAAAGCGCGCGUAGGCGGUCUGAUAAGCCGGUUGUGAAAGCCCCGGGCUCAACCUGGGAACGGCAUCCGGAACUGUCAGGCUAGAGUGCAGGAGAGGAAGGUAGAAUUCCCGGUGUAGCGGUGAAAUGCGUAGAGAUCGGGAGGAAUACCAGUGGCGAAGGCGGCCUUCUGGACUGACACUGACGCUGAGGUGCGAAAGCGUGGGUAGCAAACAGGAUUAGAUACCCCGGUAGUC
rnacentral:rRNA from 1 species